GUAGGUUGCCAGUAGAGCUUGCUGCGAUAUGUGAUUACAUGGAAGAGGUUGAAAUGUUGUUUCCUGUGACUUCUCCAAUUCCAAAUGUCCCAAACUGGAGUAUUGAAGGAGUAAUUUCUCAUGCAAAGAUUGAAGAAAAGAAGUCAAUUGAGCAACAGCACCUUGAAAGAAGAAAAAGUUUGUUCAAGUCACAUGCUGAUAAGGCAUUCAAGCAGAAGGACUAUAAGAUGGCAACAAAGUUUAUGAUUUGGCAAUAGAGCAUGCAGAGAGUGUAACACUGUAUGCAAACAGAAGUCUUUGCAAACUGCUCACGGAUGAUGGUGAAGGUGCUUUGUCAGAUGCUCUCAUGUGCAGAAUGCUGCGACCUGAUUGGGCAAAAGCUUGCUACCGUCAAGGUGCAGCUCACAUGCUACUCAAGGAGUAUAAACAAGCCUGUGAUGCUCUCUUGGACGCACAAAAUUUGGAUCCUGGGAAUGCCAAAAUUGAGGGUGAACUACG